rnacentral:lncRNA from 11 species
UCCCAAAUUCUGUCAUCCAUGCAGGAUAUAAGAAAUUGAUCAGAGCACCUCUAGGGCUAGAAUUGGAGGUGAUGUUCAGCUGGACACUUUGGUAUUUUCCCAAGUCUAGGUUUACUUUUGAUGUUGUUAUACUUACAGCAUACAAAACACAACAAUUUACAUCUACCUGGGGAUAUUUUGGAGUAAAGAAUAAAGGCUUACUGUGCAAAAUAGGUGCUGUGCCACUGAUAAUCAAUACAAGCCUGAUGGAUGGCCUGCCAGGAGUCUUUCAAGCACAUCAAUUCAGCUGCUAGAUUUUCUGCUUGCUCACUGCUUAACAAAAUAAAUAGAGAUGAAUCAAGGCAUUUAACAUUAAGCUCCAACUCAGGGUUUAGAUCGCUUAAAAUGCACCGCAGUUCCUG